ACUCCUACGGGAGGCAGCAGUGGGGAAUACUGGGCAAUGGAGGAAACUCUGACCCAGCGACGCCGCGUGCGGGAUGAAGGCCUUCGGGUUGUAAACCGCUUUCAGCAGGGAAGAAGCGAAAGUGACGGUACCUGCAGAAGAAGCACCGGCUAACUAUGUGCCAGCAGCCGCGGUAAU
rnacentral:rRNA from 1 species